CAGUCGCCGCGGGAAAACGGAGGGGGCUAGCGUUGUUCGGAAUUACUGGGCGUAAAGCGCACGUAGGCGGCUUUGUAAGUUAGAGGUGAAAGCCUGGGGCUCAACUCCAGAAUUGCCUUUAAGACUGCAUCGCUUGAACGUCGGAGAGGUGAGUGGAAUUCCGAGUGUAGAGGUGAAAUUCGUAGAUAUUCGGAAGAACACCAGUGGCGAAGGCGGCUCACUGGCUCAUUCUAGACACUGAGGUGCGAAAGCGUGGGGAGCAAACAGGAUUAGAUACCCCAGUAGUCCCUGUCUCUUAUAC
rnacentral:rRNA from 1 species